AUACCAUGAUGGGGGCACUUCCUUAACAGCUCUUCAAAUCUCUCACAUGCAUCAUAUAGCAAUUCCCUUUCAGUCUGGUAGAAAUUAUUAAUAUCCCCUCUCAACUU